rnacentral:rRNA from 1 species
CCUACGGGAGGCUGCAGUGAGGAAUAUUGGUCAAUGGACGAGAGUCUGAACCAGCCAAGUAGCGUGAAGGAUGACUGCCCUAUGGGUUGUAAACUUCUUUUAUAUGGGAAUAAAAUGUUCCACGUGUGGGAUUUUGUAUGUACCAUAUGAAUAAGGAUCGGCUAACUCCGUGCCAGCAGCCGCGGUAAUACGGAGGAUCCGAGCGUUAUCCGGAUUUAUUGGGUUUAAAGGGAGCGUAGGUGGAUUUUUAAGUCAGUUGGGAAAGUUUGCGGCUCAACAGUAAAAUUGCAGUUGAAACUGGCAGUCUUGAGUACAGUAGAGGUGGGCGGAAUUCGUGGUGUAGCGGUGAAAUGCUUAGAUAUCACGAAGAACUCCGAUUGCGAAGGCAGCUCACUGGACUGCAACUGACACUGAGGCUCGAAAGUGUGGGUAUCAAACAGGAUUAGAUACCCGGGUAGUC